ACAAAAACUUUAUCACUUACAGCAUAAAACACACAACUUGUAUUUUAGAGUGUUCCGGGUGUGGAACCUUUGAAGCUUCUUCCUCAGUUUCAGAAUUACAAGCUCCUAUCUUUCUAAAAUAAUGGCUUCACUUUCUCUCAACAUGGUUUCAGUUCCACCAAGAACAAUAACAAUCUCAUGCACAAGAACAAGGGUCCCUUCACUUCCUUUCUCAUUCACUAGGAGUAGAUUAACUAUUAGAGCAACAGAAACCGAUACAAAUAAUGAAAUUUUGGUCUUGGAAAUUCACUAACGCUGAAGUUGAUGCACUAACCUUUUCUAUUGCCAAUCUAAUAUGCACAGUCUCUUCCGGUUGCUUUCGGUACUGAAACUGCACAAUGAAUUUGUGUUGGUGCUAUUGACAUUACACAAUUAUUUGUUGCUGAUUCCCGCAAGGGGCUUAAGAUUUCAACUCUUGUUUGUAAGCAUUUACUUCAAAUUUGUUUGAUGAUCAAAAUGAUAGGUUCAUGUUGAAUUUACUAUGUUCUGAUGCCAUUAAUAAUCAGCCAUAAUAGUUCUAUUUAUUUUGCCACUUGUGUUUAUUAAUGUGAUAGAGUUAUUACUGUUAUAAUAAUGUUGAAUUUAGUGUUAUUUAUGUUGACCUAGGGAGUUUAUAUGUUAUUUUAACAUUUUCUUUUCUGCAUUGUGAAAUGACAUUCAUGUUGGUAAGAAUUCUGAUUUCUCUGAUAAAGAAAGUAUGAUAUACCUUGAUUCAGUUUACUAUUGUCCUGCUAUUACAUGGAAGCUUUGAAAAUUCAGGUUAAAAUUCUAGGCUUCUUUUUUUUUAUAAUUUUUUCCCUUUUCCCUAAUCUGUUUUUUGUUUUUGUUUUUAAUUUAUACUCCAUUAAUUGUGUUAAAAAUCCUAUAUAUUUGAACCAUUUUAAAUUUGUAAUAAUGUGUCUUCUGUGGUCUGCAUUUCUAAUAUAGUCUUCAGUUUUUGAAGAAAUUUAACUAUAUAUGCCUGGAGAUUGUAGAGAUUUUGCUUGAACAUGAAUUGCAUAAGGGAGGAAGCAAUAACUCUCACAUUGAGGUACAUGAAAAUUUGAUCCUAACUUAAUACGUUAUUUCACUAAGAUGUUUGAUACAUUAAUAUAUUGUGUAAUCAAUAAAACCAGGACAUCUAAACCAAUUAUAUGAACAGGAGUUUGGUUUCCAUGUGUACAACUAAUUUAGCAAGAGUUGAAGAUUUUUUCUAAGUAGUUUCCUUGGUGAAUCAUAUUCCCUAACAAGCUGGCAGGAUCAAAUGAAAAGAAAUCAUAUUCAAGAUUUAAAAGAAAUCAUAUGCAGUGAACGCGCUUUAUUGAUGAUCGUGAAAAAUGUUUUAGGUUUAGUUUUUCAAUUUUUCCUGCAAUCGCACUGGAUAUGGGUGGUGCAUUCAGCAACAUUCAGUUGACUCAGAUAUAUUUUGUUGUUUGUUUCUUUUGUUGUGAUUGCUAAUUUUUGCUUGUCAAGUUGAAAUUUUCUUUUGGAAAGAUCGAGUAGGAGGAAGAGGUUUGGAGCUAAGUGUUAUAAGAUAUUCUAGCUUGUAAAGGAAUUUACGCAGUUGUUAGCCUUGAUUUUCUGACUGAGAUUUUCUGCUUUAUAUCUUUUGACUUUUCUUUGAGUCUUUAGUUGGUUACAGUUUGCAUACUCUGUUGCUCUAAUUUUAUUGCUAAGUGCCAUUGUUAUAUGAAAAAUUAUCUGGAAUGAGGCAUGUGGUUGUGGACUUUAAAUGAUAUUAAAGUUGAACUCGUGAUUCAGUGGCUAUUCAGAGGCCAUGAAUUUGGAUGGAUUGUGCUGAAAGCUUCUCUUUGACUGUUUUUCCAUCAUUUCUUCAGAGGAAUGUACAUGGAAAAAAUAUGGAGUUUCUUAUGGUUUUUCAGAGUCACGUAUGUUUCUCAUAGAAGGUCUUUACAAACCCUAGUAAGGAGAGCGGAUCAGAUGGGGGAUAGUCUAAUGGCUAGAGAUUGGGGGAGACCUAGGGACCAUAGGUUUAGAUGUUGAUGGUUUAGAUAUAAAUCUGGUCUAUCACAUGUUACAAUGUCCUUCUUGGUGGGGAAGGUUCAAUUUUCCUUCUUGUGUGUUUCUCUUAUAGUAUUCCUUUUUGUCUUGGUUUUACUAAAACUGAAGUAGUGUGGGAGUAUUCUCUCCCUUCUGCUUGAAUUUCUUGGGUGAAUACGUCUAGGUGGUAAAAUGGUACAUAUACAUGGUGAACCUAUAGCAUUUUUUUUUCACAUCUCAGAUAUACUGGCAUGCUAUCUUAAGUAUACAACAGGUGAUCUUUAUACUUUUUUGCCUCAACUAAGCAACAAAAUCCACAGCUAAUGAAUGUGGGAAGGAUGGAAACUCUACAUGAUGGUGCAUAGCUUGCUAAUGUUGUUGGUUUUGUGAGUUGUAUUCAGUUGUAGAGGAGGAGCCUUGAAGAAACAGUUACGUUCUCUCUGUGGAAUCUCAAGGUCGGGUUCAAGUUACAGAAUCAGUCAUUGACAGUUAGAUCAAGAUAGAUUGCCUACAUUACACCCAUUGCCUUCCCAGAUCUUAUCAGCGUGGGAUUCUUGUUUUUUUGCAAUUGGCAUUCAGAAGGUGCGAUCUGUGUGAGUUUUUAAUUUACACUGUUUUCAAUUGUGAACUUCGACCCCCAUAAUGUUAGUUUUUAAACUCACAAGUUUGAUUUGAUAGGUUUGUACAAUACAGAGGGUAUAGAAUAUGUAGAUGUUUUGGUGCGUAAAGCAUGUAAUAUUAUAAUGUAUCACUAAUGAUCUUCAUAGCAAUAUUAGAGUGGUGACUCAAGAAGUAUAGAAGGAUACAUGUAAUGUCUGAUAUUGUGUUUGUUAUGGGUAUUGUAUUGUAUUAAGGAUUUUCAUAAACUUAUUCAGAAUUUUCAGAUAAAGAAGAGUUGGAACCGAUAGCCAUUUUACUUAGCUUUGCUAUGAUGUUAGUUCAAUUUUUCAUUCUCCAUACAUAUGUGAUAAACGUGUAUAUGGUUUAACAUAUGUCACUACUAUAUAGAUUUAUUAUUAAUUAAUAACACAUAAAAUAGAACUUCUACU